rnacentral:rRNA from 1 species
AUUGAACGCUGGCGGCAGGCUUAACACAUGCAAGUCGAGCGGAGACUUCGGUCUUAGCGGCGAACGGGUGAGUAAUACCUAGGAAUCUGCCUAUUAGUGGGGGAUAACGGCUCGAAAGGGUCGCUAAUACCGCAUACGUCCUACGGGAGAAAGUGGGGGAGUCUUCGGACCUCACGCUAAUAGAUGAGCCUAGGCCGGAUUAGCUAGUUGGUAGGGUAAAGGCCUACCAAGGCGACGAUCCGUAGCUGGUCUGAGAGGAUGAUCAGCCACACUGGAACUGAGACACGGUCCAGACUCCUACGGGAGGCAGCAGUGGGGGAAUAUUGGACAAUGGGGGCAACCCUGAUCCAGCCAUGCCGCGUGUGUGAAGAAGGCCU